UUCCCUAGUGUUGAGGGAAGCGUCUGGUAGCAUUUCAGUUAACGGAAUUUGAGGCACUCUCCUUUCCGUCCGUUUGUUAGAAUCUUGGUUUUAACCGUAAAAUUGCAGCCGUUGAGAGGGCUUGGGUUCUAGCUAGUACGCAGUAGCUACGGUAAGUGACUGGAGACAAAUGCAGACGAGCGCGGAGCUCCAGGCAGCCUCUGGGCCCAGGAUAGCACCUGCGUACACUGUUCCCUAAAUCGGAGGCACUUAGCCUUUCGGGAAACAGAGUCCGGAUCCCCAAUUUGCUGUCUUUUUACCUCUGCCUGCAGGACUUUCUUUAACAUUUCUAGUUGAUAUUUUAUCAGGAAGUUGGUGGAUCUCUACCUGAUUCCUCAGGGUUUAUGUUGUAAAUGAGAGGACCCUUGUGGAUGUGGAAGCUUGCCAGCAUCUUCAGGUGACGGCAGCAAAGUCCAGAGGUAAAGAGGACACUGUAUGUCCUUAGAUGGGGAUGGAUUCAUUUGGAGAAGUUUCAACUUGGCGAGAGCACAAUGAGCAAGGAGCUGGCCCCUGGGUUGGCUCCCAGGAAAAACAGGUGGGCCGCCUCUAGCUUGGGAUCCCGUCAGUUCUGUGCAGCAGUCCUGAGGACCGGACCAGCAUGGAGAGUACAAGGCUGCCCAGAGCCCUUGUGAAGGUGCCUCCCACCAGAGGAUGAAGACAGGCCCCCUGUGCAGAAGCGGAGGAUGACUCCUGUCCCUGCCAGGCAAUGCAGAGUGAAGAAGUUUGGUAAAUAGUCACAGCCCCUGAGGCGGGUAGAAAUCCAUUUGAACAGCACACAAGCAAUUCAGACUGACAUAUAAGAAGGUCAGAAGACAGUUCUCCUGCCUACUCUGCCAUGGACUAUUUCCCCUCUGCAGUGUCUCUCUGCCAUGGUGCCCUGCCUUGGAGCCAGCUGAUAAUAGAUUGAAACCUCUGCAAACUGUGAGCCAGAAUAAACCUUUCCUCUUUUUAACCUGGGGGUGUUGAGUAUUUUGCCCCAGCAAUAAAAAAUAAGUAAGACAACCAGACCUCCAACUUCCACCUCAAUGGCAGUUUGAAUUAGAAAUGUAAAAUUUAGAACCAAAAUUCUGGUUGCUCAUUGUCCCUCCAUGGACUCCCCAGCUCCGGGAGGAAGUACGAUGUGCUGAUUAUCUUUGGCUUCUUCUGGAAGAGUCUGGAAUCUUCUAGAUUAUCCAAACAAGAGGCUUCUCUGAUCCAUCCCUGGACUGUGAUUGAUGUCAGCUUGGUCUUUGUGCUGAAAUAGCUCACCUUCCCCAGGCCCAGAGAUCCGGAAGGUGGGGAGAGAGACCCUGUCAGCCUUCAUGGGGCCAUUUUUCUAGAUGAGAAUAUUGACACAUUAAGUCACUAGCAGCUACAGUUUCAGUCAACUUACAAAUCCACCGUCAUCUCUUUUUUUUUGGUACUGGGGAUCGAACUCAGGACCUUGUGUUUGUGAGGCAGGUGGCGGCACCACUGAGCUAGAUCCCCAGCCCACCGACCCCUUUAUUCUUAACUGCAGUCCUGAGCCCUCAUUUCCAGUUGUGGUUCACAGACAUUUUGCACCUCACUCCAAAACUCACUCAGGAAGCUUUAGGUUAGACCCAGCUUCCUGCUUUAUAAGAAAGACUGACUUACGGUGAUUAUGCCUGGGGACUAGAGUACCUUGGGAGAAGAUGGAGUGUGUUGUGUGCACUCACACUUUUGCUUUUUCCCUUACUUCACAUCUGCACUUCUUACCACACUGCAAACAUAACUAAACAUCAUGACCAUGAAACCACAUACUCAAUCCCCAAUCCCAUUUCCUUAUGUGUCACUAACAUAUCUGUCCCUAAAUUUGGCUGAUUGCACACAAUUUAAGUCUUUGCCUCCUACUCUGUGCAAACCCAUCCGGUAAUGUGUCAAUGGCAGGGUGCCACCCUGAAGUGCAUAUUUGUAAAUGUGCCAUCAUACUGACAAAUACCUGUGACCCUAAAUUUGAAGAUGGAUAGUUAAUUAUUCAGGGGGAGAAAUUCCUCCAGAAGCAGUGGCACAGGGGACAGGAAGAUCUCCCAGGUGGGCUCAGGUCAUAAGCACUGUGGAUAUGAACUAGGAUGAACACAUAGCAAUAAUUCUCUUCCAUUUCUGAAUAUGCAGCCUGUUCCAUUUGAUACCUCCUUGUUCCACAUUCACUUUGUUGUAACUAAAUCCUGACAAACAGUAGAAAUACAACUUUUAGGGAGAAAUGGAAAUUUAUGCCUAGUGGGUAUUCACUGGGGACAAAAAUCAGCAUUUAAUUUGCAGUGUCAUU